UACGUAGGGUGCGAGCGUUAAUCGGAAUUACUGGGCGUAAAGCGUGCGCAGGCGGUUCGUUAAGUCAGAUGUGAAAGCCCCGGGCUCAACCUGGGAACUGCAUUUGAAACUGGCGGGCUUGAGUGCGGCAGAGGGGGGUGGAAUUCCGCGUGGAGCAGUGAAAUGCGUAGAGAUGCGGAGGAACACCGAUGGCGAAGGCAGCCCCCUGGGCCGACACUGACGCUCAGGCACGAAAGCGUGGGGAGCAAACAGG
rnacentral:rRNA from 1 species